AAACCUGAUGAGUUGCUGCUGGCUCUCUAGGGAGCAUGUGCACACUUGUCAUCUUUAUAUCUCCACCUGUGAACCUUUUGUAGACCUGGAUAUCUCUCUGAAUUUGCCUGACAAAUUUGGAUUUGAGGAUUGAUUUUUUUCUUUCCUUGCAUUUUCAGGUCUAUGUUUUUCAUAUACCCCAUGUAUGUUUAUAGAAUGUAAUAAACGGGCCUUUGUGCCUAUAAAUUUAUACAACUUUCAGCAACGGAUCUCUUGGCUCUCGCAUCGAUGAAGAACGCAGCGAAAUGCGAUAAGUAAUGUGAAUUGCAGAAUUCAGUGAAUCAUCGAAUCUUUGAACGCAUCUUGCGCUCCUUGGUAUUCUGAGGAGCAUGCCUGUUUGAGUGUCAUUAAUAUAUCAAUCCUCUUCAGCUUUUUGCAUGUCGAGUGUUGGAUGUGGGGGUUUUUGCUGGACUCUCUUGAGGUCAGCUCUCCUAAAAUACAUUAGCAAAACAAUUUGUUUACCGCUCAUUGGUGUGAUAACUAUCUACGCUGUUGACAGUAAAGCACAGUUUAGCUUCUAACCGUCCAUUAAAUUGGACAACCUUUUAUCAAUGUGACCUCAAAUCAGGUAGGAUUACCCGCUGAACUUAAGCAUAUCAAUAAGCGGAGGAAAAGAAACUAACAAGGAUUCCCCUAGUAACUGCGAGUGAAGCGGGAAAAGCUCAAAUUUAAAAUCUGGCAGUCUUUGGCU
rnacentral:rRNA from 1 species